GUAAAAGCUGUAACCCGGAGGAGGAAGAGGCGGGGCUGACGGAGCUCUUCAGACGCGAAACUUCUAUACGCUACCUUUCAGUUUUGAGUGAGGGUGGACGUGCGUAAUCCCCACUGGGAUCCCCACAUCCCUUCUAGGUGAUUCUUCUCCCUGCCGGUACGCCCGGCCCAAGGGGUGUUUCCGUUUCUCUCUGGAGGGUCCCAGGGUUUGUGUGUGUAGCUCUGGCUGUCCUGGAGCUCGAUUGUAGACCAAAGGGGCCACAAACUCAACGACCCGCCUGUCUCCCAAGUGCGGAGAUUAAAGGCGGUUGCCACCACACACUGCUUUAAUUUAAAAAACUAAACAGAUGGCAACCAACAAGCCUUCGAGCCUGCUAGAAGAGGCCCAGUUGGUACGGUAAUACUUAUUCACCAAGCUGGUCAUCGACGAGAGUGAGGAUAUCCUAGACGGAGCAAGAAUGGGCAGAGGCUGAAGACCCUACUAUGAAGCUUACUUUUCAAGCACAGAAAAUUUGGUCUACAUAGCCUCUUUUACAAGGUGACAUUUUUUUUUAACCUUAAAGUAGAGGAAAAUGAAAAGUGGACAAGAAAACUUUGGAGUAAAGAUGGUGAGUUGGUUCUAUUCUUGUUCAGUUGUCUUCCCCACUACCCACUGCUCUGGUCUAAAGGAAAAAAAAAAAGCAACUAUGAGAAUUCUGACCUUUUCAAAAUGAGUGAUUAUAAGGUGAUUACAUUCUCACUCAUCUGUGUGAAUGCCAAAACAUAGAAAGCUAUCUUUGAGAGCAAAAAAGCCCUAUUUUAGUUGACCAGCCACCUAUGUUGGGGAUCUUAAGAGGUCUCUUUUACCACCCUUCAGAUCCACCCACCACCACACAUUAAUUAAUGUGAAACCAAUUCAAAGCCACAAAGACCUGAGGCAUCAGGCUCCAGAUGCUGCCCCAAGAAUCUUUUCCAUUCUAGUAACCAAGUGUUUUCCAGAGUUGGGGAGGGUAGAAAGAUAAAGAGGGUGUUGAGGGGGAAGGAAGAGAAAGAGGAUAGGGAGGCCAGAGAGCUUAGCAUAGUGUUUCUGUUUGUGUGUCCCGAUUUGUGAUUGGGUAGGCUUUAAGUUAUCUGAGGCUGUGGAGGUGAAAUGGGGACUAAAAAGGUUGG